GACGAACGCUGGCGGCGUGCUUAACACAUGCAAGUCGAACGGAAAGGCCCUGCUUUUGUGGGGUGCUCGAGUGGCGAACGGGUGAGCAACACGUGAGUAACCUGCCCUUGACUUUGGGAUAACUUCAGGAAACUGGGGCUAAUACCGGAUAGGAGCUCCUGCUGCAUGGUGGGGGUUGGAAAGUUUCGGCGGUUGGGGAUGGACUCGCGGCUUAUCAGCUUGUUGGUGGGGUAGUGGCUUACCAAGGCUUUGACGGGUAGCCGGCCUGAGAGGGUGACCUGCCACAUUGGGACUGAGAUACGGCCCAGACUCCUGCGGGAGGCAGCAGUGGGGAAUAUUGCACAAUGGGCGGAAGCCUGAUGCAGCAACGCCGCGUGCGGGAUGACGGCCUUCGGGUUGUAAACCGCUUUCGCCUGUGACGAAGCGUGAGUGACGGUAAUGGGUAAAGAAGCACCGGCUAACUACGUG
rnacentral:rRNA from 1 species